rnacentral:rRNA from 1 species
CUACGGGGCGCAGCAGUGGGGAAUAUUGGACAAUGGGGGAAACCCUGAUCCAGCAAUGCCGCGUGUGUGAAGAAGGCCUGCGGGUUGUAAAGCACUUUCGGUUGGGAGGACUGCUUCUAGCACUAAUAUUGUUGGAAGUUGACGUUACCUUCAGAAGAAGCACCGGCUAACUCCGUGCCAGCAGCCGCGGGUAAUACGGAGGGUGCAAGCGUUAAUCGGAAUUACUGGGCGUAAAGCGCGCGUAGGCGGCUAGAUCAGUCGGGGGUGAAAGCCCCGGGCUUAACCUGGGAACUGCAUCCGAUACUGUCUAGCUUGAGUACAGGAGAGGGGAGUGGAAUUCCACAUGUAGCGGUGAAAUGCGUAGAUAUGUGGAGGAACACCAAUGGCGAAGGCAGCUCUCUGGCCUGAUACUGACGCUGAGGUGCGAAAGCGUGGGGAGCAAACAGGAUUAGAUACCCGCGUAGUC